ACCUCCUUGUAAUAAAAUUAAGAGCUACUCAAAGGAGGUACAGCUCCUUUGACAAAGAACACAACCUCCUCUAGCGGAUAACCACCCCGCCCCCAUCCUUGUAGGCUUUAAAGCAGCCACCAACAAAGAGUGCGUCAAAGCUCAUGACCCAAAGAUCCAAAAACAUACGUGACUCCCUUAUCCACAAUGGGCUAACCUAUCACAAUAGAAGAAUUAAUGCUAAAAUGAGUAACCUGAGAUCCUCCCUCCAAAAGCGUAAACUUACAUUAAUACAUUAUUAACAGACCACUUAUACCCCCACUCCAACAAGAACACGUAUUCUUCCCCCUGUUAAACCCACCCAGGAACGCCUACCGGACGAUUAAAAUCUGUAGAAGGAACUCGGCAAACCCCAGGCCCGACUGUUUACCAAAAACAUAGCCUUCAGCCAACAACAAGUAUUGAAGGUGAUGCCUGCCCAGUGACAUCAAAGUUCAACGGCCGCGGUAUCCUAACCGUGCAAAGGUAGCGCAAUCAAUUGUCCCAUAAAUCGAGACUUGUAUGAACGGCUAAACGAGGUCUCAACUGUCUCCUACAGAUAAUCGGUGAAAUUGAUACUCUCGUGCAAAAGCGAGAAUGUAAACAUAAGACGAGAAGACCCUGUGGAACUUAAAAAUCAGCGACCACCUAAUCAAACACACCCCCACACGGGCCCACCACCCACUAUCAUUAGUGCCUGGUCAACAUUUUUCGGUUGGGGCGACCUUGGAGAAAAAAAAACCCUCCAAACUACCCAGGCCACAACCCUCCACCAAGAGCUACCACUCAAAGUACUAAAAGUCACUAGACCCAAUACAAUUGACCAACGGACCAAGCUACCCCAGGGAUAACAGCGCAAUCCCCUCCAAGAGCCCAUAUCGACAAGGGGGUUUACGACCUCGAUGUUGGAUCAGGACAACCUAAUGGUGCAGCCGCUAUUUAAGGGUUCGUUUGUUCAACGAUUAACAGUCCUACGUGAUCUGAGUUCAGACCGGAGCAAU
rnacentral:rRNA from 1 species